UGCUCGGCUGCUGACAUCGAGAGGAAGAAGCAGGAAGCUCUCGCCAGGAAACGCAAGCGGAUGCAGAACUCCCAGAAAAACGAGACCUCCUGAAGAGCUGCUACUGUCCACUCAACCCCCAGGAGGGUGUGUUCUCGUCCAGAUCAGUGAUCGUUGCUCCGCUGGAUUAUUCCUCCAUGCUAUCUGUUUACAUUCCAGUGACAGCGGUUUUGUUUUAUUGCAUCAAACCGUCGUUGUCCGAACUCUCCCCAUGAGGUCAACCCUCCGUUGCUGGGGGUCAAGCCACCAUGUGUUGAGUAGAAUUCCAGAUGACCAGGCUCUUAAGACUAUGACAGCAUGAAGCGCAACACACCUACGGGAUCCACAAAGUCACCAUCGUCAGGUGGCCAACAUUUCUUUAAAGUCGAUGACCAUGAGACAUCCUGCCAAAUCACUGUUGCCUUCAUAUACGUACUGCUAUGUAGCCAUGCUAGUUAGCCAUGCUAUGUACCAACGCCGCACUUGCACUGUUUGUACUUAUCUUCGUGAUGGCUAACCCUUUUCGACCAAACCCAGAAUAAUAAAGUUAUUCCACCUUAAGCCUGACUGCUUCCUAACUGACUCACAAAAUGGCCGCCGCCACAUCAGAAAAACCGAGAGGCCGCAUCCGGACCCUCUCCAGACCCCCAGUAGCACUACCCCCGUUCCUUAUUGUUCGACAGGCGACGCCUGACUGACACUCUGACCUGAGCCCCUUAAUGAACACCUGGACUCCCAGCUGCAGGACAGCACCCAUCCAUCACCUGGCUGACACCGUCACCGUAUCCAAACACAUCCUCAGCACUGGGCUCCAGUUCCACAGCGCGUUGUCUCAGAACAUGAACACCGCCAGACACGCCUCCUAGAAUCUAGACCUAGACUAGUCUAACCUCGUUUCCUGAGAGUUAAGUAGAUAACUAACUAGACCUAGACUAGUCUAACCUCGUUACCUGAGGGUUAAUUGGAUAACUAACUAGACCUAGACUAGUCUAACGUCGUUACCUCAGAUUUAAGUAGAUAACUUACUAGACCUAGACUGGUCUAACCUCGUUACCUGAGGGUUGAUUAGAUAACUAACUAGACCUAGACUAGUCUAACGUCGUUACCUCAGAGUUAAGUAGAUAACUAACUAGACCUAGGCUAGUCUAAGCUCGUUACCUCAGAGUUAAAUAAAUAAAAGAACAAAACUCAGCUUCUGGACGACUCUUGCAGCAGAGGUACGAGCUGCUCACCUGGAGGAAUCAAACCAUGGCCGGCCGCGCCCAGAACCUCCUGACUGUCAACGCUGGAGAUAAUGGAGGACGUCUCCCAUGCAGUCAAAUCUCUCUUUUCAACACUUCUCCACUGGUGGACCCGUGAUAUCCGCCAUGUGCAGGUCCUCAUUACGGGACGGUCAUCAUUUGUAUUAAACUGGAGGAUUAUGGAGUAUUGGACAGUUUAGAGCUCAGCUUGGAGCGACCGGCCAACAAUGAGGCUCUUUAUGCCCCGGGACAACCCCUCCCCCCCCCCCAGGCGGAUGACUCACCUGAGCCCAGGUGUGUGUGUGUGUGUGUGUGCGCGUGUGUGUGUGAACAUGCUCUCACACACCCACGCAUUCCUGAACAUGCAUUCCUGACACG
rnacentral:lncRNA from 1 species